ensembl:lncRNA
AGAUGACAUGGAGGACCAGAACAGGCUGAUACCAGUGUCAGUUUUGAUGGUUGGUUCUGGAUCGGACUGAAGAAGGGAGACUCCAUGAAGUGGCACUGGUCUCUGGCAGACAGACGUUUCUACAGAGAGGGGGGACUGAGUUCAGAAACUGGGACACUGGAACACCCCAAAAUGGUAACUGUGCUUUAAUGAGUACAUCUGGGUUGUGGAACAACACCUCCUGUGAUGACCCAGCAUCACUUCAUCUGUUAUGAUGGAAAACAAGACACCAACCUAACAUACGUCUUAUCAGGAGAACAGGCCUGGAUAGAUGCUCAGAGUUACUGCAGACAGUAUCACACAGACCUGGUCAGUGUGAGGAACCAGACUGGAAACACAGAGAUGGAGCAGAAGAUAUCACUGACGGGACUUCCUGUGUGGAUCGGUCUGUUUCAAGACUGCUGGAGAUGGUCAGACCAGAGUGAUUCCUCAUUUAGAAACGGGACAUUAGGACAUCCUGAUGCUUCAGGACAGAACUGUGUUGCAUUGUUUUUGAAUCAGUUAAUUCUGCGAAUGGGUAAAACAUCCCUGUGACCACAGACAUAAUUCAUCUGCAAUAUUGUAAAUUACAAUAUUCUCCACUUGAUCUACCUGAUAUAAUGAUGACAUGAGAACUCUAAUGUUUCCCCAAGAUUCACCACUUUCAUUGUUGGAUUUUAUUCUCUUGUGACACAGAUGUGAAGACCACGACUGCCCCUCUGCCCACACCCAAACCACCUUUCCACCCCGACCACAACCACACCACGCCUUCCACCCCGACAACAACACAACCACCUUCCACCCGACCACAACCAACCCUGCCUUCGACCCCGACAACAACCACAACCGCGCCUUCCACCCCAACCACAACCCCGCCUUCCACCCCGACAACAACCACAACCGUGCAUUCCACCCCGACCACAACCACUACCACGCCUUCCACCCCGACCACAACCACAACCACGCCUUCCACCCUGACAACAACCACACACCACGCCUUCCACCCGACAACAACAACAACCACGCCUUCCACCCCAACAACAACACAACCACGCCUUCACCACCCAACCACGCUCACCCAACAACCACACUGCCUCCACCCCGACAACAACCACAACCGUGCCUUCCACCCCGACAACAACCCACAACCGUGCAUUCCACCCCGACAACAACCCACAACCGCCUUCCACCGACAACAACCAAAACGUGCCUUCCACCCGACAACAACCACAACCACGCCUUCCACCCCGACAAACAACCACAACACGCCUUCCACCCGAAACAACCACAACCCGCCUCCCCCCCGACCACAACCACAACACAACCGUGCCUUCCACCGACCACAACACACCACAACCAAGCUUCAACCCGCAACAACCACGCCUUCCACCACGACAACAACCAUGCCUUCCACCCCGACAACAACCACAACCACGCCUUCCACCCCGACCACAACCACGAUUGCCCCACAGAUCUUACACAAGACUACCACCCCAACCCCUGAGAAACCUCAACUGAAGAGACAGGUGGUGAGAAUGAAGAUGACCCCAAAGGAUCCAAAUAUGAACCUCAGUGAUCCUGCUGUUCAGGACUCCAUCUUACAAGAGAUAAGGAACAAGCUGAAGGAGCAGGGGUUACCUGCAGACACCAAAGUGACAUGGAAAAAGCAGCCUGAUGGGAAGGUCUUCCACAAGGAGGAAGAGGGGUUUCUCAAGAAAGAAGAGGAGGAGAAGAAGAUGAAGAAGAGUAUGAUGACAAAGAGAGAACUCUAAUUAUGUCAAAUGUUCUCUCCUUUUUUAUUUAGAUUAAUUAUCUGUACUAGGAUGUAUUUUCUGAACCUAAUUAAAUGUGUUUUAUUAAAUAAAUUGUUUAUUAUAAACAUUAAUAGUGUUUUAUCUUGAGAUGUUGUUAUUGAUAAUUUUCUUGACUUUUAUUACAGGGUGUGUUCUCAAGACAGACAUUUCACACAUCAUGUCUAUAAAUGAGUUAUUUGUAGUUAUGUUGAUAUUCAGGGAUGAGAAAAAGUAUUUUCCUCCUUUCUAAUGUUCUCAACUUUUACAGAUUUAAGAUGAAGAAUGUUAUCAGAUCUUCAAAGAAAACAGAAUAUUAGAUAAAGGGAACCUGAGUGAACAAAUAACACAACAAUUACAUACUUAUUUCAUUUAUUUCAUAAACAAAGUUAUGUAACAUCCAAUGUUCAUGUGUGAAAGAUUAAUUGCCCCAUUACACUCAAUAACUGGUUGUCACACCUUUAGCUGCAAUGACUCCAACCAAGCGCUUCCUGAAGUUGUUGAUCAGUAUUUCACGUCGCUGUGGAGCAUGUUUGGCCCAGUCUUCCACCUAGAACUGCUUAAACUCAGCGAGUUUUCAAGGAUGAACUUUGAAGUCCUGCCACAACAUCUCCAUUGGGAUCAUUAGGUCUGGACAUUGACGAGGUCAUUCCAAAACUUCAAAUGUGUUUCUUUUGAACCAUUUUCAUGUAGACUUGACUGUGUGUUUUGGAUCAAUGUCUUGCUGCAUGACUCUCUUCAGCUCACAGACGGAUGGCCUGACAUUCUCCUGUAGAAUUCUCUUAUACUGAGCAGAUCUCAUGGUUCCUUCUAUUAAGGCAAUUCGUCCAGGUUCUGAGGCAGCAAAGCAUCCC